rnacentral:rRNA from 1 species
ACGAAGGGGGCUAGCGUUGCUCGGAAUUACUGGGCGUAAAGCGCACGUAGGCGGCUUGUUAAGUCAGGGGUGAAAUCCUGGAGCUCAACUCCAGAACUGCCUUUGAUACUGGCGAGCUUGAGUGCGGCAGAGGGGGGUGGAAUUCCGCGUGUAGCAGUGAAAUGCGUAGAGAUGCGGAGGAACACCGAUGGCGAAGGCAGCCCCCUGGGUCGACACUGACGCUCAGGCACGAAAGCGUGGGGAGCAAACAGGA